CCUCUUUUGGAAGACAUGACUGACCAUGAUAGGUCAGUUUCAAACGAUUCUACAUAACUAUAACAUUUCUAUUAUAAUGCCAUGUUUCAGUUUAUUUCUUUUUGAUUAUCUGAUGUCCACAAGCAGAUAUUCCUCCUUGUGAGACCACAGUGUGUUUGAAUGAAGGAGUUUAUCAAGACCAAUGGUCGCACACCACUGCCAGUGUAGAGACCAUUUCACAGGACCCAACUGUGCCAUGAGUAAUUUUUUUGUUUUUCUUUUCCUUGUUUCUGUUAUAGUUCAACAUUUAAAAUCUUAAAGUGAAUGUCAUUUUGUUUCUAAUAGAUUUGGCUGAGUAGCAUGUUUUGUUUCUUAACGGGGAGGCCUACAUUGAGUUUGCUAUCAAAGAAAGCUACAGAAGAAACCAGCUUCUGCAAGCCAUUCUGGAUGGGACGGAAGGAGAUUUUCAGGGAUUUGACAGUUUUGAGAUCAAGAUGAGGACUGUCAGAAGAAAUGCUGUUUUGGUUGUGUGCUGGUGUCAGACCGCUCAUCUAAAACUUCAGAUAUCAGAUGGAAAACCUCUGUAUGUGUUCACCAAUGUCACAUCUGGUCAGCGACUGGAGCAAUAGAGGGAAAUGUGUCUGGUGGACAGUGGCAUGUUCCUCAUCUGCCCAAAAGAGGCUUAUACAUAUCUCUGUUUCUGGAUAAACGGCCUGUAGUGAACACCACCAAUGGCACCAUAACUCACCCUGCAUUAUUACUGGAGACCAUUUUUCUGGGCUCUGCUCCAUUGAAAGAAUCUAGGGAUGUCCCAGAGAUUAUCCAGAAUUUAGGUUUCAGAGGAUGUGUGGAAUACGUCAGAUUCAACGGCCAUCUCCUGUCAUACAAUGGCUACAACUCCAGCCCGCCUGUCUACCAAACCUUCUGCGUUUCUCCAAACCACUGUGUUCUGACUCCAUGUCUGAAUGAUUUCUGUCUAUCUGAGCCCUGCUGGAAUGAUAGUGACUGUGGAUCUUCUUCCAAAGACGACUACUGGUGCAUCUGUCUGCACAAUGUGUCUUCGUGUGGAUCUUGCUCAUCUGAUGUCGUCCACAGCGAGGCCUGUUCUUAAACCCAAAAGAGCAAAGUCCCUGUAUGGAUUGUAUUAGUCAUUCUUCCCAUUUUUCUCAUUCUUCUGAUCCUAGUUUUCUGUAUUAUCCUCAGAAGACAAGGCAAACUCUGUAAGGGCGAAAAGAGGAGUCAAAUUUACUUCAUGCCACCAAGCAAACAGCACGGCAUGGAUAACCUGGGAUUUAGUUUAAGUCCUGCUGAUGAGUGUCCUCAAAACGUGUCAAAUGAAGCCAGCAAGCAGCAGCCAGAUCUGAUAAAACCAAGGGAUUCUAUGCAGGGAGUGGAAAGCUAUUUUGAAAGUGGGUCUUCUUGUCAUGUCUCAGGUUGUGGAGGGAGUGAACUGGAGUACUCUGAGAUUGACAGCACAUACUCAGAUGUGAAGACAGCUGAAGAAGGAGGAUGAACGUGGAGAACAGGUGAACAGCAAUC
ensembl:lncRNA